rnacentral:rRNA from 1 species
CAGCAGCCGCCACGGUAAUACGGAGGGGGCUAGCGUUGUUCGGAAUUACUGGGCGUAAAGCGCACGUAGGCGGCUUGGUAAGUUAGAGGUGAAAGCCUGGAGCUCAACUCCAGAAUUGCCUUUAAGACUGCCGAGCUAGCAGGUGAGAGAGGUAAGUGGAAUUCCGAGUGUAGAGGUGAAAUUCGUAGAUAUUCGGAAGAACACCAGUGGCGAAGGCGGCUUACUGGCUCAUACUGGACGCUGAGGUGCGAAAGCGUGGGGAGCAAACAGGAUUAGAUACCCCCGUAGUCCCUGUCUCUUAUAC